UCAGUUAUCGUUUAUUUGAUAGUACCUUACUACAUGGAUACCUGUGGUAAUUCUAGAGCUAAUACAUGCUAAAAACCCCGACUUCGGGAGGGGUGUAUUUAUUAGAUAAAAAACCAACGCCCUUCGGGGCUCCUUGGUGAAUCAUAAUAACUUAACGAAUCGCAUGGCCUUGCGCCGGCGAUGGUUCAUUCAAAUUUCUGCCCUAUCAACUUUCGAUGGUAGGAUAGUGGCCUACCAUGGUGGCAACGGGUAACGGGGAAUUAGGGUUCGAUUCCGGAGAGGGAGCCUGAGAAACGGCUACCACAUCCAAGGAAGGCAGCAGGCGCGCAAAUUACCCAAUCCCGAUACGGGGAGGUAGUGACAAUAAAUACUGAUACGGGGCUCUUUCGGGUCUCGUAAUUGGAAUGAGAACAAUUUAAAUCCCUUAACGAGGAACAAUUGGAGGGCAAGUCUGGUGCCAGCAGCCGCGGUAAUUCCAGCUCCAAUAGCGUAUAUUAAAGUUGUUGCAGUUAAAAAGCUCGUAGUUGAACCUUGGGUCUGGCUGGCCGGUCCGCCUCACCGCGAGUACUGGUCCGGCUGGACCUUUCCUUCUGGGGGAACCCCAUGGCCUUCACUGGCUGUGGGGGGAACCAGGACUUUUACUGUGAAAAAAUUAGAGUGUUCAAAGCAGGCCUUUGCUCGAAUACAUUAGCAUGGAAUAAUAGAAUAGGACGUGUGGUUCUAUUUUUGUUGGUUUCUAGGACCGCCGUAAUGAUUAAUAGGGAUAGUCGGGGGCGUCAGUAUUCAGCUGUCAGAGGUGAAAUUCUUGGAUUUGCUGAAGACUAACUACUGCGAAAGCAUUCGCCAAGGAUGUUUUCAUUAAUCAGGGAACGAAAGUUAGGGGAUCGAAGACGAUCAGAUACCGUCGUAGUCUUAACCAUAAACUAUGCCGACUAGGGAUCGGACGGGAUUCUAUG
rnacentral:rRNA from 1 species